rnacentral:rRNA from 1 species
GAUGAACGCUGGCGGCGUGCCUAAUACAUGCCAGUCGAGCGAACGGACGAGAAGCUUGCUUUUCUGAUGUUAGCGGCGGACGGGUGAGUAACACGUGGAUAACCUACCUAUAAGACUGGGAUAACUUCGGGAAACCGGAGCUAAUACCGGAUAAUAUUUUGAACCGCAUGGUUCAAAAGUGAAAGACGGUCUUGCUGUCACUUAUAGAUGGAUCCGCGCUGCAUUAGCUAGUUGGUAAGGUAACGGCUUACCAAGGCAACGAUGCAUAGCCGACCUGAGAGGGUGAGCGGCCACACGGGAACUGAGACACGGUCCAGACUCCUACGGGAGGCAGCAGUAGGGAAUCUUCCGCAAUGGGCGAAAGCCUGACGGAGCAACGCCGCGUGAGUGAUGAAGGUCUUCGGAUCGUAAAACUCUGUUAUUAGGGAAGAACAUAUGUGUAAGUAACUGUGCACAUCUUGACGGUACCUAAUCAGAAAGCCACGGCUAACUACGUG